rnacentral:rRNA from 1 species
GACGAACGCUGGCGGCGUGCUUAACACAUGCAAGUCGAGCGGUAAGGCCCUUUCGGGGGUACACGAGCGGCGAACGGGUGAGUAACACGUGGGUGACCUGCCCUCAGCUCUGGGAUAAGCCUGGGAAACCGGGUCUAAUACUGGAUAUGACUCCAUGACGCAUGUUGUGGGGUGGAAAGCCUUGUGCGGCUGAGGAUGGGCCCGCGGCCUAUCAGCUUGUUGGUGGGGUGAGGCCUACCAAGGCGACGACGGGUAGCCGGCCUGAGAGGGCGACCGGCCACACUGGGACUGAGACACGGCCCAGACUCCUACGGGAGGCAGCAGUGGGGAAUCUUGCGCAAUGGGCGAAAGCCUGACGCAGCGACGCCGCGUGAGGGAUGACGGCCUCGGUGUAACCC